ensembl:lncRNA
GGGGCGGCUUCCGGGGGAUGCCUGGUGACAGCUGGUGCCCCGCUGUCACUGUACCCCGGGAAAGGCGGGAGUCCCAGGGAGUCAUGGGUGCCCGGCUGUCGGGCCCUUGGGCGGCAGCAGGAGGUGGCGCCUGGCCCUCUGCAAGCCUCCGUCAGUCACACAGCCAGAAACCUGUGGACACCAGGCAGGACCAGCUGUCCCCUCCUUCAGAGGCGAGUUCUGGAGGUGAGGCAGGCGUCUCUGAGGUGGAGGGCACCGGGCGCAGGGCUCUUGCGGGAGGCGGGGACACUGGCCGGCCUCCCUCCGCCUCGUCCCAAGGGCUGGGCCGCCCUCCUGGUUCCAGCCUGGGCCUGCGGCUCGCCUGCCCUGGCCAUCACUGCCGAGUGGGCUCCAGGCCGCGGCAGCUGUGGAGCCCUCCCCGUGCCCUCCUGCCUGCCGUGGGGACAGAGAGGGACCCAGAGUCCCGACGAUGUCACCGGAGACCCUCGAGGAGCCAGGCCUGAAAUCUUUCCCCAGAGGUUUCUGUUCCGUGAAUUCUGAGUCCUGUGAGUCCGUGCAUUCUCCACACUGGCCUCAGAUAAAGAACCAUGGCGUCUGCAGGCUGCCCCAGGACGGUGCCCUGGAGCCUGAAGCAGGGAUGGGAGUUCAGAUGCCGGAACCCUGAGACUGGCACGAGGUGGAGUGUGAGGCGCUGCAGGCUGCUCCCUGUGGCCUCUCGGGCCUGAAGAGGGCCUCCUCUUCCUGUGCCUAUGUCCUGAUCGCCUCUUCCUUUUUAGGGGUAAGGGCUGAACCCAGGGCCUUCUGCAUGCCGGGCAAGCCCUGCACCACUGAGCUGCGCCCCAGUCCGUACUUUUUACUUUGAGACAGGGCUGGGUAGGGUGCCCAGGCUGGCCUCAAACUUGUGGUCCUCCCACCACAUUCCUCCUGGGUAGCCAAGAUGACAGCCGUGUGCCACCAUGCCUGGUCCCUAAUCUCUCAUAAGGAAGAGCUCACAUUGGGUUUGGGUGGCCCCAAAGACCCAACUGUGCCUUACCUUACUCUCUCAUGCCAGCUCCAGCUGCUCCGGGAGUGGCUGGGCUGUGGGGCCAGGCCAAGGGCAGCCGCUUCCCCGAGACACCAGAGUCUGGCUGAGGUGGGCCUUGCCUCCCCAUCACCCCCUGCCCGCUCAGCGCCUCUGGUGUCCUCUGCAAGGGUGAGGCCUGGGGUGCAGACAGCACGGCAGCUUUGGGAGUCCCACAGCUUGGCAGAAGGCAAGGCUUCCAGCUGGGGCGGCACCGGAGGGCCCUGGCCAGCGCUGCCAGGUGACCUGUCUGCUGCCCCGGGGCUGCCCUGGGAACUGCUCACCCGGGACCGGGACAGUGGCCAAGGCUGCGAUGGGCCAGGACACAGGCAGACCGAGCUGCCCCUGGUCUGCUCAGGCUCACAGGGGGAAGAGGACCUGGCGCCCACCUUCCCUGUGUGCGGUGGGUGAGUGCCAUGCCUCCCUGGGCACCUCUCCACCCGCCAGGAGGACAGCAGCAGCUCCGCUCCCUGGCACGGUCUCGCCUGGACCAGUGCGACCUCGCAUGGGCAGCGAGAGCAGUGGAUGGGGUCUGGGGCUGUUGGUCUGAGUGCUGGGGAGGGAGCGGAUGCAGCAGAGGAGCCCCCUUGUCGGGACCCCCCGUGCCCACCUGCUGCGGGCCUGGGGGCUGGGUCAGGCUGGGCCCGUGUGUCGGGAACAGGCCUCCUCUCUCUGCUCCCCACUUCUGUGUAUUUGCUGACCGGUUUUUCUAGAUAGGGCUUUUUCCUUCUUUGUUGCAGCAAUGGGGAUAAGGCAAGUGCUAGACCACUGCGCUGCAUCCCAGCCCCUUUCAUUCUGAGGCAGUUCCCACCAAGUCCCCCAGACUGGCCUUGAACUGUGGUCCUCCGCCUCAGCCUCCUGAGUGGCGGCGAUGCCAGGCAUCUGUUCAGCAGUCUUCAGCACGCCCAGUGUGGCCUCUCGCCCAACAGCUGUGGGGCCCUGCGCUGUGUCCAGGUGUGGCUGAGCCCUUGGCCUGGAGCCUGCAGCUCUGCCACCCCUGUUCUGCCCCUAGGGACAGGGCUGCCUUCUUGGCCCUGCCUGGCCAUAUCUUCUCCUGGGGCCCUCAAGUGCCACCCAAGCCUCCUCUGUCCCUGUCCGUCCCCGCAUCUGCUCUGUCCGCUGGUGGCCCUGGCCAGCGCUGGUCCUCUCUGACCAUUGCCAUGUGGACCCUUUGAGCAUCAGGGCCAACGCCAUCCCAGAAGCACAGGGCCAGAGGGCACUGGCUCAGAGCAGCUCGAGGCAUCGGGGCCACACCGCCAGGGGAUUCUGGGCCAGAGCUUGAGUGCCCACUGGAUGACAGCAACAACCAGACAACAGUGGCACCAGCCCCGUCAUAGAGAGGAGGAAACAGCCCGGAAGUGAUGUCCCAUAGCCACAGGGAGGGCUGUGUCCAGCCGCUGUGGACACCGACAGAGGGGCCAGGGCCACCGUGGGACUCGGAGCCGCUGCUCUGCCGGGCCAGGGCCGGGGAUGCAGAGAGAGGCCCCCACUCAGGACCUGCUGGCCUCUGAUCGCUCUGAGCUCUCAGCUCAACCUCCCAG